rnacentral:snoRNA from 1 species
AAAAAAUCAGAGGUCGAUAGUUUUCUUCCUUGAGCUGACCUCUCAUAAACUUCAGGGAAAUUAUUUGUACCAAUAUUGGGUGAACCUUUGUAAACUAUACUUGUGAAUAAAACAAUAAAUAUUGCGACAUUA